GAUGAACGCUGGCGGCGUGCCUAAUACAUGCAAGUCGAGCGAACAGAUGAGGAGCUUGCUCCUCUGACGUUAGCGGCGGACGGGUGAGUAACACGUGGAUAACCUACCUAUAAGACUGGGAUAACUUCGGGAAACCGGAGUUAAUACCGGAUAAUAUAUUGAACUGCAUGGUUCAAUAGUGAAAGACGGUUUUGCUGUCACUUAUAGAUGGAUCCGCGCCGCAUUAGCUAGUUGGUAAGGUAACGGCUUACCAAGGCAACGAUGCGUAGCCGACCUGAGAGGGUGAUCGGCCACACUGGAACUGAGACACGGUCCAGACUCCUACGGGAGGCAGCAGUAGGGAAUCUUCCGCAAUGGGCGAAAGCCUGACGGAGCAACGCCGCGUGAGUGAUGAAGGUCUUCGGAUCGUAAAACUCUGUUAUUAGGGAAGAACAAAUGUGUAAGUAACUAUGCACGUCUUGACGGUACCUAAUCAGAAAGCCACGGCUAACUACGUG
rnacentral:rRNA from 1 species